UGCAGCAAUCUAGGCAGCGUUCU
rnacentral:miRNA from 1 species